rnacentral:rRNA from 1 species
UGGGGAAUAUUGCACAAUGGGGGAAACCCUGAUGCAGCGACGCCGCGUGAGUGAAGAAGUAUUUCGGUAUGUAAAGCUCUAUCAGCAGGGAAGAAAAUGACGGUACCUGACUAAGAAGCCCCGGCUAACUACGUGCCAGCAGCCGCGGUAAUACGUAGGGGGCAAGCGUUAUCCGGAUUUACUGGGUGUAAAGGGAGCGUAGGUGGCAUGGUAAGCCAGAAGUGAAAACCCAGGGCUCAACUCUGCGGAUUGCUUUUGGAACUAUCAGGCUGGAGUGCUGGAGGGGUAAGCGGAAUUCCUAGUGUAGCGGUGAAAUGCGUAGAUAUUAGGAGGAACACCGGUGGCGAAGGCGGCUUACUGGACAGAAACUGACACUGAGGCUCGAAAGCGUGGGGAGCAAACAGGAUUAGAUACCC